rnacentral:lncRNA from 10 species
GUCUACUCAGGGCUCCUUAUGCCUCUGAAUCACCAGGCAAAAAAGGAAGUUACUGUGCUGGCUGAGGUCAGUGAUCCUGAAUAACAAGGAGAAACUGAACAACGACUCCACAGUACAGAUUCCUUCUAGAGUCACUCUGAUUGCAUUAAUAUGCUAAUAUUAAUGACUGGCCAAUAUUCUCUAUAGUUUGUUGAGCUUUAUUCCCCAAGAAUAUUAUGGCCUGCGAAUUGCAGUAAUUUCAGCAACUGUGAACAUCCCACGGAGAAUAUGAACUGGAACAUUUUUUAGAUCAGCAUAAAGCGUGGAAAAUAAACACCACUCAGAGGAUUUCCUCUCAGGUAUUCAUCAUCUGGUUCCAAGCAUGAGUCAGUUCAAUUUUCCCUCCAUGCUCAGGAGGUCGUUGCUUUUUGGAACCCAGCCCUUAUGCUAUCAGGACUCUGCAGCAACGAGAAGAAGAGGCCACUGAAAGAGAAUCCAGCCUCUCUGGUCAACAGCAGUAGCUUAACCCUCCGUCAAGCCUACGGUUGGAUACGAUUGCCCUGAAGUCCCAUCUAAGUCCACAUGGAACAGAACAGUCCAGUAAGCCCACAUGAGGCUGACAAACAGUAAGUCAUCACUCUA